rnacentral:rRNA from 1 species
UACGUAGGGGCAAGCGUUGUCCGGAAUUACUGGGCGUAAAGGGUGCGUAGGCGGUUUGGUAAGUUAGAUGUGAAAUCCCCGGGCUUAACUCGGGAGUUGCAUUUAAAACCGCUGAACUAGAGUGCAGGAGAGGAAAGCGGAAUUCCUAGUGUAGCGGUGAAAUGCGUAGAUAUUAGGAGGAACACCAGUGGCGAAAGGCGGCUUUCUGGACUGUAACUGACGCUGAGGCACGAAAGCGUGGGGAGCGAACAGG